CACGUAGGGUGCGAGCGUUGUCCGGAAUUAUUGGGCGUAAAGAGCUCGUAGGCGGUGUGUCGCGUCGGCCGUGAAAACCUGCAGCUUAACUGUGGGCUUGCGGUCGAUACGGGCAUCACUGGAGUUCGGCAGGGGAGACUGGAAUUCCUGGUGUAGCGGUGAAAUGCGCAGAUAUCAAGAGGAACACCGGUGGCGAAGGCGGCUCUCUGGAACAAUCCUGACGCUGAGGUGCGAAAGCUAGGGGAGCAAACGGG
rnacentral:rRNA from 1 species